rnacentral:rRNA from 1 species
CGUAGGCGGUCUUGCAAGUCCCGUGUGAAAUCCCUCGGCUCAACUGAGGAACUGCACGGGAAACUGCUUGGCUUGAGUUCGGGAGAGGGAAGCGGAAUUCCGGGUGUAGCGGUGAAAUGCGUAGAUAUCCGGAGGAACACCGGUGGCGAAGGCGGCUUCCUGGACCGACACUGACGCUGAGGCGCGAAAGCUAGGGGAGCAAAACG